rnacentral:misc_RNA from 1 species
AAAGCUCUUUGUUUUUUGAAAGGGUGCUUUUAUGAGAUAGAGCUUUUUUAGAUAAUGCUUUUUUAGAUAAUGCUGGGGAAGGUUUUCCGGUUUAUCUCGGAGGGCUUGUAGCUCAGUUGGUUAGAGCGCGCGCUUGAUAAGCGUGAGGUCGGAGGUUCAAGUCCUCCCAGGCCCACCAAUUUACCUAUCCAUUUGCCUUUAUCUGUUUAUUUGCCGAUUUAUCGGUCCAUUGAAUUUAAGUGUUGGUAGCAGUUUUAUAAUGAUGAGAAAUCAUGCUUAUAAAAGAACUCCUUAUAAAAGGCUUGUUUUUAAAAUGUGACGCUUAUCCAUUUCGCUUAGGCAAGAGAAACUUCAAGCGGUUCAAAUACAAAAGGCUUUAAGUUUUGCAAAACACUUUGAAUUUUGCAAA